rnacentral:misc_RNA from 1 species
AAAAGAUCAACAAGUUCAAAGGAGGGAAUCGUACAAUCGACUUUUCUUGGUUCAGUCCAGAAGCGUGUGGAGGUGAUUCUUAGUUCAUCUCUGGAAUUUCAGAAGGAUUUUUCUGAGUACAUGAAAUAUGGAAGAUGGCCAACUGAAGAUUAUGGAAGAAGGGCCUCAACUCUUCUUUCUUGGUAUGUACAAUGGUACAAUGUGCCAUCACCUUUCCAAGUUAAAAGAGCUUUGGACAAAAUCAAUGAAAUUAACACAUCCCCUUCAGUCCCUCUUUUACAUUUGCUGUUCCCUACAACUGAUGUUGCUGCCCUCUAUGAGAUCAACAGAAUAGGAUUUUGCUCCAGGGGAUGAGAUUUGAAUAUCCUUCUCUAAAUUUUAUUGUUGU